rnacentral:rRNA from 1 species
ACGCUCGACCUACGGAGGCAGCAGUUGGGAAUAUUGGACAAUGGAGGAAACUCUGAUCCAGUGACGCCGCGUGAAGGAAGAAGGUCUUCGGAUUGUAAACUUAUUUUGUCAGGGAAGAAAAAAUGACUGUACCUGAAGAAAAAGCACCGGCUAACUACGUGCUAGCAGCCGCGGUAAUCUGAGGCGGGCGUGCGAAGGC